rnacentral:rRNA from 1 species
AUCCCCUACUCCUUACCGGAGGCAGCAGUGGGGAAUAUUGCACAAUGGGCGCAAGCCUGAUGCAGCCAUGCCGCGUGUAUGAAGAAGGCCUUCGGGUUGUAAAGUACUUUCAGCGGGGAGGAAGGGAGUAAAGUUAAUACCUUUGCUCAUUGACGUUACCCGCAGAAGAAGCACCGGCUAACUCCGUGCCAGCAGCCGCGGUAAUACGGAGGGUGCAAGCGUUAAUCGGAAUUACUGGGCGUAAAGCGCACGCAGGCGGUUUGUUAAGUCAGAUGUGAAAUCCCCGGGCUCAACCUGGGAACUGCAUCUGAUACUGGCAAGCUUGAGUCUCGUAGAGGGGGGUAGAAUUCCAGGUGUAGCGGUGAAAUGCGUAGAGAUCUGGAGGAAUACCGGUGGCGAAGGCGGCCCCCUGGACGAAGACUGACGCUCAGGUGCGAAAGCGUGGGGAGCAAACAGGAUUAGAUACCCGG